CGUACACUCCUGCGGGAGGCAGCAGUGGGGAAUAUUGGACAAUGGGCGCAAGCCUGAUCCAGCCAUGCCGCGUGAGUGAUGAAGGCCCUAGGGUUGUAAAGCUCUUUCACCGGUGAAGAUAAUGACGGUAACCGGAGAAGAAGCCCCGGCUAACUUCGUGCCAGCAGCCGCGGUAAUACGAAGGGGGCUAGCGUUGUUCGGAUUUACUGGGCGUAAAGCGCACGUAGGCGGACUAUUAAGUCAGGGGUGAAAUCCCGGGGCUCAACCCCGGAACUGCCUUUGAUACUGGUAGUCUUGAGUUCGAGAGAGGUGAGUGGAAUUCCGAGUGUAGAGGUGAAAUUCGUAGAUAUUCGGAGGAACACCAGUGGCGAAGGCGGCUCACUGGCUCGAUACUGACGCUGAGGUGCGAAAGCGUGGGGAGCAAACAGGAUUAGAAACCCUGGUAGUCCCAUG
rnacentral:rRNA from 1 species